CCCUAGUAACGGCGAGUGAAGCGGCAACAGCUCAAAUUUGAAAUCUGGCGUCUUUGGCGUCCGAGUUGUAAUUUGCAGAGGGCGCUUUGGCAUUGGCAGCGGUCCAAGUUCCUUGGAACAGGACGUCACAGAGGGUGAGAAUCCCGUACGUGGUCGCUAGCCUUUACCGUGUAAAGCCCCUUCGACGAGUCGAGUUGUUUGGGAAUGCAGCUCUAAAUGGGAGGUAAAUUUCUUCUAAAGCUAAAUACUGGCCAGAGACCGAUAGCGCACAAGUAGAGUGAUCGAAAGAUGAAAAGCACUUUGGAAAGAGAGUUAAAAAGCACGUGAAAUUGUUGAAAGGGAAGCGCUUGCAGCCAGACUUGCCUGUAGUUGCUCAUCCGGGUUUUUACCCGGUGCACUCUUCUAUAGGCAGGCCAGCAUCAGUUUGGGCGGUUGGAUAAAGGUCUCUGUCAUGUACCUCUCUUCGGGGAGAACUUAUAGGGGAGACGACAUGCAACCAGCCUGGACUGAGGUCCGCGCAUCUGCUAGGAUGCUGGCGUAAUGGCUGUAAGCGGCCCGUCUUGAAACACGGACCAAGGAGUCUAACAUCUAUGCGAGUGUUUGGGUGUCAAGCCCGAGCGCGUAAUGAAAGUGAACGGAGGUGGGAACCCCUCGGGGUGCACCAUCGACCGAUCCUGAUGUCUUCGGAUGGAUUUGAGUAAGAGCAUAGCUGUUGGGACCCGAAAGAUGGUGAACUAUGCUUGAAUAGGGUGAAGCCAGAGGAAACUCUGGUGGAGGCUCGCAGCGGUUCUGACGUGCAAAUCGAUCGUCAAAUUUGGGCAUAGGGGCGAAAG
rnacentral:rRNA from 1 species